AUGAUGACGCCGCAGCGGUCGCCGGCGGUGAUGGCGGGGGGAGGAGGGGGAGGCGGUGGGGGCGGUGGCGGGACGCCGGCGCUGCACUACCUGAGCGGGCCCUACGGGGACACGACGUACACCAAGGUGUUCGUGGGGGGCCUGGCGUGGGAGACGCGGAGCGAGGGCCUGCGCGCGCACUUCGAGGCCUACGGCGACAUCCUCGAGGCCGUCGUCAUCACCGACCGCGCCACCGGGAGGUCCAAGGGAUACGGAUUCGUGACCUUCCGGGAUCCAGAUUCGGCGAGGAUGGCCUGCAUGGAUCCCUAUCCGGUAAUUGACGGGCGGCGUGCCAACUGUAAUCUUGCCAUCCUGGGGCGACCUGGACCAGCUGUGCCUUUUGGACCUAUAAGGCCGGUCAUUCCAUACAAUGGAGGUGCGGCGGUUCCAGGAGGCAUGUAUGUACCAAGCCCAACAUAUCAGCAACCCCCCUACAACUACUCGCAGGCUCUUGUGUAUCCCCCUUAUGGGCCAUCAACGUAUGGACCCGAAUACUUGUAUCCACAGAAUGCCUAUGGUCCAUAUGUUGGACAACAGUAUGUCCCGGUGUAUGGUGGUCCCAGAACAGUAGGGCCAGCGGUUUACCCAUAUGGGCAGUUCGGCCAACCUGUGCCAAGUGAUCAUUCUUAUUCACCUGGCUAUGUGCCAGGUCACCUUCUCCCACUAUCUAAUCAAAAUGCUGCAAAUGCGCGUGCAUCAGCGGUUCAGCAACAAUAUCCUCCAGGAGCUCCGCGCCCUCAGCAACAGCUCUUGCUCCCUGCUCGCGUGCAACAGUUCCCACCAAACAACGUCUCCGAACAAAUGUCGGGAUGA
rnacentral:rRNA from 1 species